ACGGGAGGCAGCAGUGGGGAAUAUUGCACAAUGGGGGAAACCCUGAUGCAGCGACGCCGCGUGAGCGAAGAAGUAUUUCGGUAUGUAAAGCUCUAUCAGCAGGGAAGAAAAUGACGGUACCUGACUAAGAAGCCCCGGCUAACUACGUGCCAGCAGCCGCGGUAAUACGUAGGGGGCAAGCGUUAUCCGGAUUUACUGGGUGUAAAGGGAGCGUAGACGGCAAUGCAAGUCUGAAGUGAAAUCCCGCGGCUCAACUGCGGAGCUGCUUUGGAAACUGCAUAGCUGGAGUGUCGGAGAGGUGAGUGGAAUUCCCAGUGUAGCGGUGAAAUGCGUAGAUAUUGGGAGGAACACCGGAGGCGAAGGCGGCUCACUGGACGAUAACUGACGUUGAGGCUCGAAAGCGUGGGGAGCAAACAGGAUUAGAUACCCUGGUA
rnacentral:rRNA from 1 species